GACGAACGCUGGCGGCGUGCCUAAUACAUGCAAGUCGAACGAGAGCGACCGGUGCUUGCACUGGUCAAUCUAGUGGCGAACGGGUGAGUAACACGUGGGUAACCUGCCCAUCAGAGGGGGAUAACAUUCGGAAACGGAUGCUAAAACCGCAUAGGUUCUACAGUCGCAUGACUGAAGAAGGAAAAGAGGCUUCGGCUUCUGCUGAUGGAUGGACCCGCGGUGCAUUAGCUAGUUGGUGAGGUAACGGCUCACCAAGGCCGUGAUGCAUAGCCGACCUGAGAGGGUGAUCGGCCACAUUGGGACUGAGACACGGCCCAAACUCCUACGGGAGGCAGCAGUAGGGAAUCUUCCGCAAUGGACGCAAGUCUGACGGAGCAACGCCGCGUGAGUGAAGAAGGAUUUCGGUUCGUAAAACUCUGUUGUUAGAGAAGAACAGCGCAUAGAGUA
rnacentral:rRNA from 1 species